GUGAGCACUGUGCCGACCAUCUUUCCCGGAUUGACCGAGGUAGCGCUUCCGAACACCUCCGUUUCUGAUGUCAUAUUGGCAGAUCCUGAGAUGAUGGAGGAAGCAUAUGUAGAGAGCACCGCUUCAGUUCCGGGUGUGCAAACAAAGGGCGUUUCAGGAGGAAAUCAGACGUUCCUACCCAAUUCUAACGCCUCAACUCAGACAGGCCUGACACUUCCCCCUUCAAGCACACUUUCGCUGACCUCGGACAAACUCAUCGCCCAAGUGGUUAGUGGCAAGGAUGUGACGACAACAGGAGUGGUGGCAAUCGAUACGGAAGCGUCACUUCAUGACACAACUGUGGCAUCAAGUAGCGGUUUCUUGAACGCCAGGUGCUCUACUUUCCUUCCUCCACAACUUGACAUAACCCAGGAGUCUCAACGAUAUCUAUGCAGAUAUGCAACAAAGCAGUCACAUGCAUCUGUCUAUAACAGGCAUAACGUAGCUCUUUUUACUUGUCGUUCAUAUUUGAUGCUUUCAGUUUUCAGACCUCGCGAUGCUGUACGCA